rnacentral:rRNA from 1 species
CCUACGGGAGGCUGCAGUGGGGAAUAUUGGACAAUGGGCGAAAGCCUGAUCCAGCCAUGCCGCGUGUGUGGAGAAGGCCUUCGGGUUGUAAAGCACUUUCAGUGGGGAAGAAAGCCUUGGGGCUAAUACCCUCGAGGAAGGACAUCACCCACAGAAGAAGCACCGGCUAACUCCGUGCCAGCAGCCGCGGUAAUACGGAGGGUGCGAGCGUUAAUCGGAAUUACUGGGCGUAAAGCGCGCGUAGGCGGUCUGAUAAGCCGGUUGUGAAAGCCCCGGGCUCAACCUGGGAACGGCAUCCGGAACUGUCAGACUAGAGUGCAGUAGAGGAAGGUAGAAUUCCCGGUGUAGCGGUGAAAUGCGUAGAGAUCGGGAGGAAUACCAGUGGCGAAGGCGGCCUUCUGGACUGACACUGACGCUGAGGUGCGAAAGCGUGGGUAGCAAACAGGAUUAGAUACCCCUGUAGUC